UGUCACUAUAACCUAAAAUAUAACUUCAAGUCCUGAUGCCUCAAAAUGCUGCCUCGUUUUCACUGGAGAAGGCAUAAAUUGUAUUUUAGCUAGAACCAAUGGUUUGAAGUUAGAAACAAAGUUUUUCACUUCACAAGGUGUUAAUUGGUGGACUGGAGUCGUUUGGAUUGCUUGUGGAUUAUUUGAAUGUUUUUAUCAGCUGUUUGAAAUCUCAUUCUGAUGGCACCCAUUCACUGCAGAGGAUCCAUCAGUAAACAUGGACUAAAUUUCUCCAAAUCUGUUCUGAUGAAGAAGUCCAUAGGUUGCUUUUAAGGCCUUGUGUGCAUUUUCUUGAGUUGGGUGAGUAAUGGGAUGCUAAGUGAAUGGAGUUUAUAUAAGGUCUCCAGUUCUAUCUGUUGGCAGACACAAAGACAGAAGACACCUUCCACCUGAGUCGCACCAUCUGAAAUGGAGGCCCAGCUUCUACAACAACAAACACACCACGACUGGAUAGCGAUGGGAUUCAGAUUGAUGUGAUUUGCCUGAUUGUUGCUGAUUAAAACAAUCACACCCUGUCUGAUUUUAAUGUGCACAGAGACACUGUGAUAUAGGAGGAGACUUGCUUUUGAUUCUCAUGUAAGUAGAGAGGGAGUGUAGAUGUCAUGGAUGCCCUUAGUGUGAUACUCUGCUUUGGUGAUGAAUCCAUAUACCUGAGCAGACUGAAUGCACCAUAAAACACAUUUAUUUAUUGCCCGUGAUCUUAGACCCAAAAACUGCAAUUGAUCUUGUAACUAAUUCUUCAUUGGGCAGCUGUGAGAAAUCAAAUGAAGGAGAAAUCACAUUUCCAUUGAGCAUUUGAAAAGAUUUUGAUGUAUUAUGAAAACAUUUUGUAAUUUUCGGAACUCUGGAAGUUCAAAAACAUGGUUUAUUGCUAGAAUUAAAAUGUAAAAAAUGACUUCUGCAACUUUCUGACAGCAAGCAGGUGCAGGUCUGUGCAUAUUUACAUGUGAACAAUGCCUGUUUGGUGUUAAGAAACUUGGUCUGCUCAAUCAUGGAAAGGUAAUGAGAAAAUAUAUGCUAUUUUUCCUAAAUACCAGGUUACGAUAAGAAAAAAAUGUGGGAAAGUCCACCAAACCUUUGCUGUUACUGGAUGUGUACAUGUUGAACACCUGCUGCUCUUCAUACUUACUCCUGACGUUUUCCAACAUUAAAAAAGAACACUACGCAACUAC
ensembl:lncRNA